rnacentral:rRNA from 1 species
AGUGAACGCUGGCGGCAGGCCUAACACAUGCAAGUCGAGCGGCAGCGCGGGGGCAACCCUGGCGGCGAGCGGCGGACGGGUGAGGAAUACAUCGGAAUCUGCCUUGUUGUGGGGGAUAACGUAGGGAAACUUACGCUAAUACCGCAUGAGACCGUAAGGUGAAAGUGGGGGAUCGCAAGACCUCACGCGACAAGAUGAGCCGAUGUCGGAUUAGCUAGUUGGUGAGGUAAAGGCUCACCAAGGCAACGAUCCGUAGCUGGUCUGAGAGGAUGAUCAGCCACACUGGGACUGAGACACGGCCCAGACUCCUACGGGAGGCAGCAGUGGGGAAUAUUGGACAAUGGGCGCAAGCCUGAUCCAGCCAUGCCGCGUGUGUGAAGAAGGCCUCGGUUGUAAGCACUUUGUUGGUAAGAAGUACUGUCGAUUAAUACUCGCGGGAGUGACGGUACCAACGAAUAAGACACCGGCGUAACUUCGUGCCACGCAGCCG